rnacentral:rRNA from 1 species
AUUGAACGCUGGCGGCAGGCUUAACACAUGCAAGUCGAGCGGGGGAAGGUAGCUUGCUACCUAACCUAGCGGCGGACGGGUGAGUAAUGCUUAGGAAUCUGCCUAUUAGUGGGGGACAACAUUUCGAAAGGGAUGCUAAUACCGCAUACGCCCUAAGGGGGAAAGCAGGGGAUCUUCGGACCUUGCGCUAAUAGAUGAGCCUAAGUCGGAUUAGCUAGGUGGUGGGGUAAAGGCCUACCAAGGCGACGAUCUGUAGCGGGUCUGGGAGGAGGAUCCGCCACACUGGGACUGAGACACGGCCCAGACUCCUACGGGAGGCAGCAGUGGGGAAUAUUGGACAAUGGGGGGAACCCUGAUCCAGCCAUGCCGCGUGUGUGAAGAAGGCCUUUUGGUUGUAAAGCACUUUAAGCGAGGAGGAGGCUACCGAGAUUAAUACUCUUGGAUAGUGGACGUUACUCGCAGAAUAAGCACCGGCUAACUCUGUGCCAGCCGCCGCAGUAAAAC